rnacentral:rRNA from 1 species
AUUGAACGCUGGCGGCAGGCUUAACACAUGCAAGUCGAGCGGAGAUGAGGUGCUUGCACCUUAUCUUAGCGGCGGACGGGUGAGUAAUGCUUAGGAAUCUGCCUAUUAGUGGGGGACAACAUUCCGAAAGGAAUGCUAAUACCGCAUACGUCCUACGGGAGAAAGCAGGGGAUCUUCGGACCUUGCGCUAAUAGAUGAGCCUAAGUCGGAUUAGCUAGUUGGUGGGGUAAAGGCCUACCAAGGCGACGAUCGGUAGCGGGUCUGAGAGGAUGAUCCGCCACACUGGGACUGAGACACGGCCCAGACUCCUACGGGAGGCAGCAGUGGGGAAUAUUGGACAAUGGGGGGAACCCUGAUCCAGCCAUGCCGCGUGUGUGAAGAAGGCCUUACGGUUGUAAAGCACUUUAAGCGAGGAGGAGGCUACUGAGACUAAUACUCUUGGAUAGUGGACGUUACUCGCAGAAUAAGCACCGGCUAACUCUGUGCCAGCCGCCGCCGUAAGAC